rnacentral:rRNA from 2 species
UGGCUCAGAACGAACGCUGGCGGCAGGCCUAACACAUGCAAGUCGAGCGCCGUAGCAAUACGGAGCGGCAGACGGGAGAGUAACACGUGGGAACGUGCCCUUCAGUUCGGAACAACCCAGGGAAACUUGGGCUAAUACCGGAUACGUCCGUAAGGAGAAAGAUUUAUCGCUGAAAGAUCGGCCCGCGUCUGAUUAGCUUGUUGGUGAGGUAACGGCUCACCAAGGCGAGGAUCAGUAGCUGGUCUGAGAGGACGAUCAGCCACACUGGGACUUUUUCUCGGCCCANAGACCUACGGGAGGCAGC